CCUACACGACCGUACCGCAAACCGACACUGGUGCGCGAGAUGAGUAUUCUAAGGCGCUUGAGAGAACUCAGGAGAAGGAACUCGGCAAAUUGACACCGUAACUUCGGAAGAAGGUGUGCCUUUAGUAGGUGAAGGGAUUUACUCCCGGAGCCCAAUGAGGUUGCAAAAAAUCGGUGGCUGCGACUGUUUAAUAAAAACACAGCACUCUGCAAACACGAAAGUGGACGUAUAGGGUGUGACGCCUGCCCGGUGCUGGAAGAUUAAAUGAUGGGGUGCAGGCUCUUGAUUGAAGUCCCAGUAAACGGCGGCCGUAACUAUAACGGUCCUAAGGUAGCGAAAUUCCUUGUCGGGUAAGUUCCGACCUGCACGAAUGGCGUAACGAUGGCCACACUGUCUCCUCCUGAGACUCAGCGAAGUUGAAAUGUUUGUGAUGAUGCAAUCUCCCCGCGGAAAGACGGAAAGACCCCAUGAACCUUUACUGUAGCUUUGUAUUGGACUUUGAACAGAUCUGUGUAGGAUAGGUGGGAGGCUUUGAAGCAGGGUCGCUAGAUCUUGUGGAGCCAACGUUGAAAUACCACCCUGGUGUGUUUGAGGUUCUAACCUAGGUCCAUUAUCUGGAUCGGGGACAGUGCAUGGUAGGCAGUUUGACUGGGGCGGUCUCCUCCCAAAGCGUAACGGAGGAGUUCGAAGGUACGCUAGGUACGGUCGGACAUCGUGCUAAUAGUGCAAUGGCAUAAGCGUGCUUAACUGCGAGACUGACAAGUCGAGCAGAUGCGAAAGCAGGACAUAGUGAUCCGGUGGUUCUGUAUGGAAGGGCCAUCGCUCAACGGAUAAAAGGUACUCUGGGGAUAACAGGCUGAUACCGCCCAAGAGUUCAUAUCGACGGCGGUGUUUGGCACCUCGAUGUCGGCUCAUCUCAUCCUGGGGCUGUAGCCGGUCCCAAGGGUAUGGCUGUUCGCCAUUUAAAGAGGUACGUGAGCUGGGUUUAAAACGUCGUGAGACAGUUUGGUCCCUAUCUUCCGUGGGCGCUGCAGAUUUGAGGAAGCCUGCUCCUAGUACGAGAGGACCGGAGUGGACACACCUCUGGUGUAUCGGUUGUCACGCCAGUGGCAUUGCCGAGUAGCUAAGUGUGGAAGAGAUAACCGCUGAAAGCAUCUAAGCGGGAAACUCGUUUCAAGAUGAGAUCUGCCGGGGCCUUGAGCCCCCUAAAGAGUCGUUCAAGACCAGGACGUUGAUAGGUCAGGUGUGGAAGCGCAGUAAUGCGUUAAGCUAACUGAUACUAAUUGCUCGUGCGGCUUGAUC
rnacentral:rRNA from 1 species